rnacentral:lncRNA from 1 species
UUAUCUGUGCUUGGCGUGCGGGAGAAAGGUAGGGGCAUAGCCUAAAACUCACAUGGAGAUCAGGCUAGAACAUGGGGUCCCAUGUGGGGGUGCGUCCCUUGGUUCGGGUAAUUAUGUUUCCGAUCGAUGGGUAUGGCUAAUUGAAAGGUCGUUAUACGCACCCGAUUAGUUGUGCAUGGCUGGUGAUUAGGUAUCUCUUGCAGGAUGUAAAUCAGUC